AUCCAGACUCCUACGGGAGGCAGCAGUGGGGGAUAUUGCACAAUGGGGGAAACCCUGAUGCAGCGACGCCGCGUGGGCGAAGAAGUAUUUCGGUAUGUAAAGCCCUAUCAGCAGGGAAGAAGAAAUGACGGUACCUGAGUAAGAAGCACCGGCUAAAUACGUGCCAGCAGCCGCGGUAAUACGUAUGGUGCAAGCGUUAUCCGGAUUUACUGGGUGUAAAGGGAGCGCAGGCGGCACGGCAAGCCUGAUGUGAAAGCCCGCGGCCCAACCGCGGGACUGCAUUGGGAACUACCGGGCUGGAGUGCCGGAGGGGCAGGCGGAAUUCCUGGUGUAGCGGUGAAAUGCGUAGAUAUCAGGAGGAACACCGGUGGCGAAGGCGGCCUGCUGGACUGCGACUGACGUUGAGGCCCGAAAGCGUGGGGAGCAAACAGGAUUAGAUACCCGAGUACC
rnacentral:rRNA from 1 species